rnacentral:rRNA from 1 species
UGGGGAAUUUUGGACAAUGGGCGCAAGCCUGAUCCAGCAAUGCCGCGUGUGUGAAGAAGGCCUUCGGGUUGUAAAGCACUUUUGUCCGGAAAGAAAACCUCGUGGUUAAUACCCGUGGGGGAUGACGGUACCGGAAGAAUAAGCACCGGCUAACUACGUGCCAGCAGCCGCGGUAAUACGUAGGGUGCAAGCGUUAAUCGGAAUUACUGGGCGUAAAGCGUGCGCAGGCGGUUCGCUAAGACAGAUGUGAAAUCCCCGGGCUUAACCUGGGAACUGCAUUUGUGACUGGCGGGCUAGAGUAUGGCAGAGGGGGGUAGAAUUCCACGUGUAGGAGUGAAAUGCGUAGAGAUGUGGAGGAAUACCGAUGGCGAAGGCAGCCCCCUGGGCCAAUACUGACGCUCAUGCACGAAAGCGUGGGGAGCAAACAGG